rnacentral:rRNA from 1 species
GGCCAUUGCUAUCGGAGUCCGAUUUAGCCAUGCUAGUUGUACGAGUUUAGACUCGUAGCAUAUAGCUCAGUAACACGUGGCCAAACUACCCUACAGACCGCGAUAACCUCGGGAAACUGAGGCCAAUAGCGGAUAUAACUCUCAUGCUGGAGUGCCGAGAGUUAGAAACGUUCCGGCGCUGUAGGAUGUGGCUGCGGCCGAUUAGGUAGAUGGUGGGGUAACGGCCCACCAUGCCGAUAAUCGGUACAGGUUGUGAGAGCAAGAGCCUGGAGACGGUAUCUGAGACAAGAUACCGGGCCCUGCGGGGCGCAGCAGGCGCGAAACCUUUACACUGCACGACAGUGCGACAGGGGGACUCCGAGUGUGAGGGCAUAUAGCCCUCGCUUUUCUGUACCGUAAGGUGGUACAGGAACAAGGACUGGGCAAGACCGGUGCCAGCCGCCGCGGUAAUACCGGCAGUCCAAGUGAUGGCCGAUAUUAUUGGGCCUAAAGCGUCCGUAGCUUGCUGUGUAAGUCCAUUGGGAAAUCGACCAGCUCAACUGGUCGGCGUCCGGUGGAAACUACACAGCUUGGGGCCGAGAGACUCAACGGGUACGUCCGGGGUAGGAGUGAAAUCCUGUAAUCCUGGACGGACCACCAAUGGGGAAACCGCGUUGAGAGACCGGACCCGACAGUGAGGGACGAAAGCCAGGGUCUCGAACCGGAUUAGAUACCCGGGUAGUCCUGGCUGUAAACAAUGCUCGCUAGGUAUGUCACGCGCCAUGAGCACGUGAUGUGCCGUAGUGAAGACGAUAAGCGAGCCGCCUGGGAAGUACGUCCGCAAGGAUGAAACUUAAAGGAAUUGGCGGGGGAGCACCACAACCGGAGGAGCCUGC